AGCCAUUUCUAUAGAGACAGAAAGAUGAGUGGUUUCCUGGGGCCGGGGGCUUGCUGGGAGAAGAAGGGGAUGAGAACUAAAGGCAUGGGUUUCGUUGCGGGGUGGUGGAAAUGUUCUAAAUUUGAUUGUGGCGUCGGUUGUACAAGUUUGUACUAAAAAGCAUCGAAUUGUUCACUUGCAAGGAGUGAAUUGUAUGGUAUGUGAAUCAUACCUCAAUAAAGCCUUUACAAAAGCGAAACGAAAAAGAAAGAAAACAAAGCGCGUCUUUGUGAGGCCUGGCUCUCCCUGCACCUCUCGGCCAGGACCGCUUUGGAAAUACUUGGCAACGAGAAGAACCGGAGAGAGCUGUGACCCACAACGGUGUUCCUACCACAUCGAGGGCUCAAAAGCAGUGACCCAAGGCAGCUGCCAAACAUCCGUCAGUAUUGCACCACCGAGAAAACAUCUGGGAUCCAAAGUUGCAGCUGCCCUCGGCCUCAGAGACAGUCAGCCACGAGACUGCUGGACACUUCUGUGGGUCCAGGGCUGGCUUGGUAUCGACAUCGAGGCAGGAAAAGAAACUGGAGCCUCUCACAGCCCCUCAGAUGGGGCGGGGCUCCUGGGGUGACUCUUAUCCAGGUUGCUCGAGACUGGCCCGGUUUUAGCAUCGAAAACCCCACACACCCAGGAAACCCUGUGUUUCGUCCGGACAAACCGGACAGCUGGUCACCCAGAUUCCUCACAGACCCCUGAAAGCAAAGGGCCAGGCUGAAAGACUCCUGGAAAGGCCACAAGAACGGCUUUCACUCUCCCUCUGCUCCGAUAGCCACAGUGACUGAAAGGAGUCCUGGAGAAGGGAGAGAAGAGGGUCUUACUGUAAGCCUGGCAACCCACUUUCCAGAAACAGAAAACAAGAAGCCAGACUUGAGAAUCAGGCCCUUGGCCAGGGCAGCGUGGCCACUCCUGGCCUUUGGGGAGGGGUCUCCAUCACAGAGCCACCCGUGGGGCCCAGCGGGCACUUGCUUCCUUCAGCUCCCAUGCUCACCCUUGAGGGGGUAAACUGUCACUGAUUGUGAUGUUUAAUUUCAUAUGUCAACUUGACUGGGCGACAGGGCACCCAGAUAUUUGAUCAAAUAUUUUUCUGAGUGUGCCUGUGAGGGUGUUUCUGGAUGUGAGUAAAGGGAAUCGCUGUCUCGAAUGCGGGUGGGCUUCAUUUAAUCAGGUGAGGGGCCUGAAUAGUCCAAAAGGGCUGACCAUCCCCUGACUUACAGAGAGUUCUUCCUGCCUGACAGCCUCUGAAGGCAUCAGGUCUUGCUGGGUUUCAAGCCUGCCAGUCUUUGGACUAUACUUUGGCGCUUCAUUUUAGGCUUUUGGACUCAGACUGGAAUUAAACCAUCAGUGCUCCUGGGCUUGUCAACUCAGCUGCAGAUCUUGGGGCUGCUGGUCUCCAUUAUCAUGCAAGCAAAUUCUGUAUAAUCUCUCUCUCUCCUAUUGGUUCUUUUUUUUUUUUAAUAUUUAAUGUUUAUUAUCAUUUAUUAUUUUAAUUGUUUUAAUGUUUAUUUAUUUUUGAAAGAGAGACAGGGAGAGAGAAUGCGAGCAAGGGGAGGGGGGCAGUGAGAGAGGGAGACACAGAAUCUAAAGCAGGUUCCAGGCUCUGAGCUGUCAGCACAGAGCCCCACGUGGGGCUCAAGCUCAGGAACCAAGAGAUCAUGAUCCAGCGCAAGUCAGACCAUUAACCGACUGAGCCACCCAGGCGCCCCCUAUUGGUUCUUUUUUUUUGAAAAGCCCUAAUACACUGAUGGGUCCCGCUCUCUCUCUGCCCUACUCAGUCAACGACCUUCAAAUGAAGAUGUUGAUUUUUGGUAAUUUUGGAAGACUCAGGCUGGUGAUGAUGUCAACGUCAAGGCAAGGAAGCAGUCAGUUUCACUAGGGGCUAGUUCUUGUGCCGACUUCACGAAUUUAUGAAUGGCUGUGGCAAGAAAGGCCCGCUCCUCCCCUGGUCUUGCCUGUUUGGGGAGUGGGUACUCAGUAUACUCACUGUCCUGUGUGGACGUGUCAGAAAUAGAGACAUCGUUGAGUCCGUUUUGUUCUCAGUCUCAAAGCCUCUGGAGAGCUGGUAACAUAAACCCUAAGGUCUUGUGGGGCCUGACAUACUGUGAGCUUUAGACACUGACCCCACACAGCUAGCAUCACUCACCAACUUGCUCUGAAACAGGAAAGAAUACGUGUUCCGACCCCAUUCGGUCUUUCUUUUUUUUUUUUUUUUUUUUAAUUUUUAUUCAUUUUUUGGUAGAGACAGAGUGUGAGUGGGGGAGGGGCAGACACCGAAUCCGAAGCGAGCUCCGAAUCCGAAUCUGAGCGGUAGCACAGAGCCGGGCGCGGGGCUCGAACUCAGGAACCGCGAGAUCGCCCAACCGACUGAGCCACCCAGGCGCCCCUCCCGGGCAGUCUUUCUUACCCGACUGCAGAAAUAGUUCUUGGCCUGAAAUCUCACUUCAAAUGUGGGUUUAAGGUGUUCUUUUUAGAGGACUUCAGACACUGCCAGGACGCCGGGAGCAACCUUUUUCAGGACGCAAAGCUCGGUGCCCUUAACUUCCGGAAGAGGAGGAAAAGCACAAUCUCUGAACUAGGUUAGGUCUUCUGGAGAGUGUUCAUCGGCUUCAGCUCACUGAGAAGGGAGUUGGCCAAAUAUAAAAUUCCCCAGUCUGAAUCCUUCUCUUUCUUGUAAGAGCAGCUGGAAGACAAGCCACCCAGCUUAGUGUCCCCCCACCUCCCCACCUCGGCUCCCCAGACUUUCAGACCCAGGAGCGCACACAAGUACCGAUCCUGACCAUUAGGUGUCACUGUUGUACACGACAUGGACUGACCUGGGCUCCGGACGAUUGACCGCGCUCCAACUUGAUCCGCCUUUCGAUUUCUGCAUGACCGUGGGGUUCCCCAAAGUCUAGCGGUGCCCAGCCUGAGGCCAGUAACCAGUCAACAGUUGACACAAAAUACAGGUAAAGCCCACCUGGGCUUUGCACUCUGGCAGUUACAGCUCUUUGUGAUGGAGGAUGUAAAAGCAGUCGGUAUGGUGAGCAGCCGGAAGGGCAAAUAAAAAUAUUUUUUACCGUUGCAUUUUAAAAUUCAUAAUAAACUAUGUCAAAUGUACAGGAAAAUUACAGAGGACAUUACAAGAAACCCUUGAAUUGAAUUGCCAUGUCUGCUUCAGUGUUUUGCUUUGUUUUAUAUAUGUAUUCACAAACAUUGUAUAGCAUCGUUCUGUGUGUUUUCAAAUUUUAUGUAAAUAUUCCCAUUUCUAUUACAUCAUUUUGCAAGUUGC